GACGAACGCUGGCGGCGUGCUUAACACAUGCAAGUCGAACGGAAAGGCCCUGCUUUUGUGGGGUGCUCGAGUGGCGAACGGGUGAGUAACACGUGAGCAACCUGCCCUUGACUUUGGGAUAACUUCAGGAAACUGGGGCUAAUACCGGAUAGGAGCUCCUGCUGCAUGGUGGGGGUUGGAAAGUUUCGGCGGUUGGGGAUGGACUCGCGGCUUAUCAGCUUGUUGGUGGGGUAGUGGCUUACCAAGGCUUUGACGGGUAGCCGGCCUGAGAGGGUGACCGGCCACAUUGGGACUGAGAUACGGCCCAGACUCCUACGGGAGGCAGCAGUGGGGAAUAUUGCACAAUGGGCGGAAGCCUGAUGCAGCAACGCCGCGUGCGGGAUGACGGCCUUCGGGUUGUAAACCGCUUUCGCCUGUGACGAAGCGUGAGUGACGGUAAUGGGUAAAGAAGCACCGGCUAACUACGUGCCAGCAGCCGCGGUGAUACGUAGGGUGCGAGCGUUGUCCGGAUUUAUUGGGCGUAAAGGGCUCGUAGGUGGUUGAUCGCGUCGGAAGUGUAAUCUUGGGGCUUAACCCUGAGCGUGCUUUCGAUACGGGUUGACUUGAGGAAGGUAGGGGAGAAUGGAAUUCCUGGUGGAGCGGUGGAAUGCGCAGAUAUCAGGAGGAACACCAGUGGCGAAGGCGGUUCUCUGGGCCUUUCCUGACGCUGAGGAGCGAAAGCGUGGGGAGCGAACAGGCUUAGAUACCCUGGUAGUCCACGCUGUAAACGGUGGGUACUAGGUGUGGGGUCCAUUCCACGGGUUCCGUGCCGUAGCUAACGCUUUAAGUACCCCGCCUGGGGAGUACGGCCGCAAGGCUAAAACUCAAAGGAAUUGACGGGGCCCCGCACAAGCGGCGGAGCAUGCGGAUUAAUUCGAUGCAACGCGUAGAACCUUACCUGGGUUUGACAUGGAUCGGGAGUGCUCAGAGAUGGGUGUGCCUCUUUUGGGGUCGGUUCACAGGUGGUGCAUGGCUGUCGUCAGCUCGUGUCGUGAGAUGUUGGGUUAAGUCCCGCAACGAGCGCAACCCUUGUUCACUGUUGCCAGCACGUUAUGGUGGGGACUCAGUGGAGACCGCCGGGGUCAACUCGGAGGAAGGUGGGGAUGACGUCAAGUCAUCAUGCCCCUUAUGUCCAGGGCUUCACGCAUGCUACAAUGGCUGGUACAGAGAGUGGCGAGCCUGUGAGGGUGAGCGAAUCUCGGAAAGCCGGUCUCAGUUCGGAUUGGGGUCUGCAACUCGACCUCAUGAAGUCGGAGUCGCUAGUAAUCGCAAAUCAGCAACGCUGCGGUGAAUACGUUCCCGGG
rnacentral:rRNA from 1 species